UACGUAGGGUCCGAGCGUUGUCCGGAAUUAUUGGGCGUAAAGGGCUCGUAGGCGGUUUGUCGCGUCGGGAGUGAAAACACGGGGCUUAACCCCGUGCCUGCUUCCGAUACGGGCAGACUAGAGGUAUGCAGGGGAGAACGGAAUUCCUGGUGUAGCGGUGAAAUGCGCAGAUAUCAGGAGGAACACCGGUGGCGAAGGCGGUUCUCUGGGCAACUCCUGACGCUGAGGCGCGAAAGCGUGGGGAGCAAACGGG
rnacentral:rRNA from 1 species